UCAAGCUAAGAAGAGCAUAAGGUGAAUGCCUUGGCACCGGAAGCCGAAGAAGGACGCGACAAGCUGCGAAAAGCCGUGGGGAACCGCAAAUAGGUAUUGAUCCACGGAUGUCCGAAUGGGGAAACCCCGCAUAAACAUAAUAUGCGAGCGUAUGCUGAAUAAAUAGGUAUACGCGGGGAACCUCCCGAACUGAAACAUCUCAGUAGGGAGAGGAAAAGAAAUCAAACGAGAUUCCGCGAGUAGUGGCGAGCGAAAGCGGAAGAGGCUAAACCGGAGGUAGCAAUACCACCGGGGUUUUGGACUGUAAUAUGUAGUUUCAGAGAUAGCGGAACGCGAUGGGAAGCGCGGUCAUAGAGGGUGAGAGCCCCGUACGCAAAAUUGAAGAGACGCUAACAGGAUCCGAAGUACGUGCGAGCACGAGGAAUUCGCACGGAAGACGGGGGGCCCACCCUCCAAGCCUAAAUACUAACCGGUGACCGAUAGAGAAGCAGUACUGUGAAGGAAAGGUGAAAAGAACCCCGAGAGGGGAGUGAAAUAGGACCUGAAACCUUAUGUUUACAAGCACACAAAGAGGAUUAAGCCUCGAUGUGGUACCUUUUGUAGAAUGGUCCGGCGAGUUAUUGUACGCGGCAAGGUUAAGCGUUUAAGACGCGAAGCCGAAGGGAAACCGAGGGUUAAGAGCCCGAACAAGUCGCGUGUAAUAGACCCGAAACCGGGUGACCUAUCCAUGUCCAGGUUGAAGUGAGGGUAAAACCUCAUGGAGGACCGAACCGACCCCCGUUGAAAAGUUGGCGGAUGAGGUGUGGAUAGCGGAGAAAUUCCAAUCGAACCCGGAGAUAGCUGGUUCUCCCCGAAAUAGCUUUAGGGCUAGCCUUGGAUGAAUAUUAGCGGAGGUAAAGCACUGAAUAGGUAAGGGGGCGAAAGCCUACCGACCCUUAUCAAACUAAGAAUACCGCGUAAUAGUGUCCGGGAGUCAGACAGUGUGAGAUAAGUCUCAUUGUCAAAAGGGAAACAGCCCAGACCCACAGCUAAGGUCCCAAAUAUACGCUAAGUGGAGAAGGAUGUGGCAUUGCGAAAACAACCAGGAUGUUGGCUCAGAAGCAGCCACACAUUCAAAGAGUGCGUAAUAGCUCACUGGUCGAGUGAAGCUGCGCCGAAGAUUUAGCGGGGCUAAGCGUAUAACCGAAGCAUGGGCAGACUGGGGUAGUUAAUAAUUAAUAGUUAAUAAUUAAUAGUUCGGAGAACGGUAUGCAGAGCGAGAGUAUAGUGCAGGCAAAGAGCAUGUCGUUUGCAAUCAGAAUCGUGAAUCUGAGUCGAUAUUUGAGCGAAGAGCAUAAGGAAUUUGUGCUGAGCAAACAAUUAUUGAAAAGCGGAACGAGUAUAGGCGCAAACAUCAGCGAAGCAGAAUACGCGCAAAGCAAAAUUGAUUUCACAGCGAAGAUGAGUAUAGCACUCAAAGAAGCCGCGGAAACAAAAUACUGGAUAGAAUUAUUAAGGGAAACCGAGUACCUGAGAGAAGAAGAAUACCGAAGCAUGAAAGCUGACUGCGUCGAAAUGAUAAAAAUGCUGACAGCAGUUGUCAAACGGUCAAAAGAGAUUUAGGCGUUGCCUGAACUCAAAAAAGAUCGUGUACGAGCUUCAUGGACGAGUAAUAUUCACUAUUAACUAUACAUUAUUAACUGCCUCAGCCUGGGUAGGGGAGCGUCGAAUAUGGGGUGAAGCAUCAGCGGAAGCAGGUGUGGACUGUAUUCGAGUGAGAAUGCCGGAAUGAGUAGCGAGAAUUGCGUGAGAAUCGUAAUGGCCGAAAAUCUAAGGUUUCUAAUGGUAGGUUCGUCCGCAUUAGGUAAGCCGGAAGCUAAGGCGAGGCCGAAAGGCGUAGUCGAUGCACAUACGGUAGAAAUUCCGUAGCCUCCGAAAUUGUUAAGUAUACUGACACCUGAGAAUAGUUCAACCCCGGCGAUGGUCGACCGGGGCGAAAGGGACUGAAACACAAGUAGGGAAGUGAAUGAAAAUCAGGGCGAGAAAAGGUAUAUGUAUUAGUUAGGAGUCCGUACCGCAAACCGACACAGGUAGAUGAGGAGAAGAUCCUAAGGCCAACGGGAGAAGGGUUGUUAAGGAACUCGGCAAAUUGACCCCGUAACUUCGGGAUAAGGGGAACCCUAUGCAAAUAGGGUCGCAGUAAAAAGGUCCAGGCGACUGUUUAUCAAAAACACAGGUUUCUGCUAAACCGAAAGGUGAAGUAUAGGAGCUGACGCCUGCCCGGUGCUGGAAGGUCAAGGGGAAGUGUCAGGAGCAAUCCGAAGCACAGAACUUAAGCCCCAGUAAACGGCGGCUAUAACUAUGAUAGUCCUAAGGUAGCGAAAUUCCUUGUCAGGUAAGUUCUGACCUGCACGAAUGGCGUAACGAUCUGGACACUGUCUCAACAGCCUCCCCGGCGAAAUUGUUGUACCGGUGAAGAAGCCGGUUACCCGCGACUAGACGGAAAGACCCCAUGGAGCUUUACUAUAGCCUGAUACUGGAACCCGGUAAAUUAUGUAGAGAAUAGGUGGGAGACUGAGAAACGAGGGCGUCAGCUUUCGCGGAGUCACCUUUGGAAUACCACCCUUAAUUUACUGAGUUUCUAACCUGCGCCCCUGAAUCGGGGCGGGGGACAAUGUCAGGUGGGUAGUUUGACUGGGGCGGUCGCCUCCAAAAAAGUAACGGAGGCGCUCAAAGUUCGGCUCAGCGCGGACGGAAAUCGCGCAUAGAGUGUAAACGCACAAGCCGGAUUAACUGCGAGACAGACAAGUCGAGCAGAGACGAAAGUCGGAGUUAGUGAUCAGGUGGUAGUGAGUGGAAAUGCCAUCGCUUAACGGAUAAAAGUUACCCUGGGGAUAACAGGCUGAUCUCCCCCAAGAGUUCACAUCGUCGGGGAGGUUUGGCACCUCGAUGUCGGCUCAUCACAUCCUGGGGCUUGGAUAAGGUCCCAAGGGUUCGGCUGUCCGCCGAUUAAAGUGGUACGCGAGCUGGGUUCAGAACGUCGUGAGACAGUUCGGUCCCUAUCUGUCGUGGGCGCAGGAAAUUUGAGAGGAGCUGUCCUUAGUACGAGAGGACCGGGAUGGACACACCUCCGGUGCACCGGUUGUUCCGCCAGGAGCAUAGCCGGGUAGCCGCGUGUGGCAGUGAUAAACGCUGAAGGCAUCUAAGCGUGAAACAUACCUCAAGAUUAGAUUUCCCACAGCACAAGCUGGUAAGGUCACUUACAGACUAUGAGUUUGAUAGGUCGGAGGUGUAAGCACGGUAACGUGUUCAGCUGACCGAUACUAAUAGACCGAGGGCUUGAAC
rnacentral:rRNA from 1 species